CUGCUGCCUCCCGUAGGAGUUUGGGCCGUGUCUCAGUCCCAAUGUGGCCGUCCGCCCUCUCAGGCCGGCUACUGAUCGUCGCUUUGGUAGGCCGUUACCCUGCCAACUGGCUAAUCAGACGCGGGUCCAUCGUAUACCGCCUCGGUUUUUCACACUGUCCCAUGCGGAACCGUGCGCUUAUGCGGUAUUAGCACCUAUUUCUAAGUGUUAUCCCCCUGUAUACGGCAGGUUACCCACGCGUUACUCACCCGUCCGCCACUAAGUUA
rnacentral:rRNA from 1 species